rnacentral:rRNA from 1 species
AGCUUGCUCCUUCGACGUUAGCGGCGGACGGGUGAGUAACACGUGGGCAACCUACCCUAUAGUUUGGGAUAACUCCGGGAAACCGGGGCUAAUACCGAAUAAUUUGUUUCACCUCAUGGUGAAACACUGAAAGACGGUUUCGGCUGUCGCUAUAGGAUGGGCCCGCGGCGCAUUAGCUAGUUGGUGAGGUAACGGCUCACCAAGGCGACGAUGCGUAGCCGACCUGAGAGGGUGAUCGGCCACACUGGGACUGAGACACGGCCCAGACUCCUACGGGAGGCAGCAGUAGGGAAUCUUCCACAAUGGGCGAAAGCCUGAUGGAGCAACGCCGCGUGAGUGAAGAAGGAUUUCGGUUCGUAAAACUCUGUUGUAAGGGAAGAACAAGUACAGUAGUAACUGGCUGUACCUUGACGGUACCUUAUUAGAAAGCCACGGCUAACUACGUGCCAGCAGCCGCGGUAAUACGUAGGUGGCAAGCGUUGUCCGGAAUUAUUGGGCGUAAAGCGCGCGCAGGUGGUUUCUUAAGUCUGAUGUGAAAGCCCACGGCUCAACCGUGGAGGGUCAUUGGAAACUGGGAGACUUGAGUGCAGAAGAGGAUAGUGGAAUUCCAAGUGUAGCGGUGAAAUGCGUAGAGAUUUGGAGGAACACCAGUGGCGAAGGCGACUAUCUGGUCUGUAACUGACACUGAGGCGCGA